CAACUAUUCCUAACUACAAAACUGGUUAUGAGAAUAAUUCAUGCCAUUCUCUUUGAUGGAACUGUUGUCACAGAUGUUGAGAUGGUUGCUCGAAAUCAAAACUGAAUGGCCUUGGGCAAACAGGC